rnacentral:rRNA from 1 species
ACGCUCGACACCUACGGGAAGGCAGCAGUCGGGAAUAUUGCGCAAUGGAGGAAACUCUGACGCAGUGACGCCGCGUGCAGGAAGAAGGUUUUCGGAUUGUAAACUGCUUUAGACAGGGAAGAAAGAAAUGACAGUACCUGUAGAAUAAGCUCCGGCUAACUACGUGCCANAGACCGCCGGUAAGUACUGAGCGGGCGUGCGAAGGACG